AAAAAGGCAAACCCUGGGUUUCCGUGUCCAACUUUGAUUGUCCGCCUUAUAUGGAAUUUUUUUAUAAUUCGUAUUUUCAUUGUUGUUAGAUGAUAAAAUAUGAUUAAUAUUUUAUGCGUGACUUGUCUUUUUAAUCUUUUUUAUAAUUUUUUCAAAUAAGACGGACGGUCAAACAUUGGGCACGGAAACCAGGGUUUGUCUUUUU
rfam:Oryza glumipatula chromosome 3, whole genome shotgun sequence.